GUGGGGAAUCUUAGACAAUGGGCGCAAGCCUGAUCUAGCCAUGCCGCGUGAGCGAUGAAGGCCUUAGGGUUGUAAAGCUCUUUCGUGGGGGAAGAUAAUGACUGUACCCCAAGAAGAAGCCCCGGCUAACUCCGUGCCAGCAGCCGCGGUAAUACGGAGGGGACUAGCGUUGUUCGGAAUUACUGGGCGUAAAGCGCACGUAGGCGGACUGGAAAGUCAGGGGUGAAAUCCCGGGGCUCAACCCCGGAACUGCCUUUGAAACUCCCAGUCUUGAGUUCGAGAGAGGUGAGUGGAAUUCCGAGUGUAGAGGUGAAAUUCGUAGAUAUUCGGAGGAACACCAGUGGCGAAGGCGGCUCACUGGCUCGAUACUGACGCUGAGGUGCGAAAGCGUGGGGAGCAAACAGGAUUAGAAACCCGAGUAGUCC
rnacentral:rRNA from 1 species